rnacentral:rRNA from 1 species
AUUGAACGCUGGCGGCAGGCUUAACACAUGCAAGUCGAACGAGUGGCGGACGGGUGAGUAAUGCUUGGGCCUCUUGCUUUUGGAGGGGGAUAACUACGGGAAACUGUAGCUAAUACCGCCUUCCUUAGGCUGAGCCCAAGUGGGAUUAGGUAGUUGGUGGGGUAAAGGCUCACCAAGCCGCCGAUCUCUAGCUGGUCUGAGAGGAUGACCAGCCAAACUGGGACUGAGACACGGUCCAGACUCCUACGGGAGGCAGCAGUGGGGAAUAGUGCGCAAUGGGGGCAACCUGACGCAGCCAUGCCGCGUGAAUGAAGAAGGCCUUCGGGUUGUAAAGUACUUUCGGUAGCGAGGCGUUAACUACAGAAGAAGCACCGGCUAACUCCGUGCCAGCAGCCGCGGUAAUAC